rnacentral:rRNA from 1 species
AUUGAACGCUGGCGGCAGGCCUAACACAUGCAAGUCGAACGGUAACAGGAAACAGCUUGCUGUUUCGCUGACGAGUGGCGGACGGGUGAGUAAUGUCUGGGAAACUGCCUGAUGGAGGGGGAUAACUACUGGAAACGGUAGCUAAUACCGCAUAACGUCGCAAGACCAAAGAGGGGGACCUUCGGGCCUCUUGCCAUCGGAUGUGCCCAGAUGGGAUUAGCUAGUAGGUGGGGUAACGGCUCACCUAGGCGACGAUCCCUAGCUGGCCUGAGAGGAUGACCAGCCACACUGGAACUGAGACACGGUCCAGACUCCUACGGGAGGCAGCAGUGGGGAAUAUUGCACAAUGGGCGCAAGCCUGAUGCAGCCAUGCCGCGUGUAUGAAGAAGGCCUUCGGGUUGUAAAGUACUUUCAGCGGGGAGGAAGGGAGUAAAGUUAAUACCUUUACUCAUUGACGUUACCCGCAGAAGAAGCACCGGCUAACUCCGUG